GUUUCUGUAGUAUAGUGGUUAUCACGUUUGCCUCACACGCGAGUGGUCCCCGGUUCGAUCCCGGGCGGGAACA